UGAGAUCUCGAGAGAAUAGGUGGAAAGUGCCCACGACAUCGGAUAAUAUGAUGCCCGGCCCGGCCCGGUCCGACCCCUCGAAUCAUGUCAUCCAUGCAAAUUGCAGCUACCAUUAGUCUGGUAGUGAUCAUAUCAGCAAGUUGGCACUCAACAACUGUGCACAAGAUCUGCGUGGUAAACGAUGCUGCAUUGAUCUGAAUAUCUCUGCACGUACGGCUAUGCAUGAAGCAUGAUGACAGAUGGAGGUGCAACACUAAAGCUGACGCGUUUGGUGCCCGCGUCGUGUAUAAAUGGGACCUCUGCAUCGCUCUCAGAACUCACACCAUUCUCCCCCCACCAAAAUCAAGCACCACAGCUAUCCUACGUGGUUCAGAUUCCAGAUCGCCAGUGUGCACUGCACUCUGUUCUCUUCGGCUAGCUCCACUUCCACCAUCAUGGCCAACUUCGCCGUCCAGCUCAAGGAUAGGUUUUUCGGCCUUGUCGACCGGGUCGCCGGCUGCGGCCGCGCCGGGGUCAGGGAGGAGGCCCCCAAGUCGGCGCCGGCGCCGGCCGUGCAGGAGCACGUCGAGAUUCGACCGAGAGGCCCCAAUGUGUCAGGAGGAUCGGAGGCGGGAGUCAAUUAGACAGUGUGGAUGCUACUCGUUUGUUACUGUCUGCUGAUGUCUGGAGUGUUAUCGCUUCGUUUCAGAUUCACGUGGCUUCCCUUGUUCUGAAAGUUGAAACAAAUGCUUUCCUUGCUGGUGUUCUGAAUGCGUGAAGUGUGCUUGUGCGUGCGUGGGUGUGUUUUCAAUGUUCAACAAGUUUUUUCUUCAUACCUCAAAAGUGGUAACAGAAGUAUUAAGCUUAAUGAUUUCAUUGUAUCAUGUAUGUUUGAUGAAGCAAUAAUUUAUUUGAUCCAAAUUUCACACGCUCA